rnacentral:rRNA from 1 species
UCAAAUCAGCACGGCCCUUACGUCCGGGGCUACACACGUGUUACAAUGGGAGGUACAAAGGGUAGCUACACAGCGAUGUGAUGCGAAUCUCAAAAACCUCUCCCAGUUCGGAUUGGAGUCUGCAACCCGACUCCAUGAAGCUGGAUUCGCUAGUAAUCGCGCAUCAGCCAUGGCCGCGGUCGAAUACGUUCCCGGGCCUU